rnacentral:rRNA from 1 species
AUACGUAGGGGGCGAGCGUUGUCCGGAAUCAUUGGGCGUAAAGAGCUCGUAGGCGGCUCAGCAAGUCGGUCGUGAAAAUCCGGGGCUCAACCCCGGGACGCCGAUCGAAACUGCUGUGGCUAGGGUCCGGUAGAGGAGAGUGGAAUUCCCGGUGUAGCGGUGAAAUGCGCAGAUAUCGGGAGGAACACCAGUAGCGAAGGCGGCUCUCUGGGCCGGCACCGACGCUGAGGAGCGAAAGCUAGGGGAGCAAACAGGAUUAGAUACCCUGGUAGUCCUAGCCGUAAACGUUGGGCACUAGGUGUGGCGGACUCAUUGACGUCUGCCGUGCCGAAGCAAACGCAUUAAGUGCCCCGCCUGGGGAGUACGGUCGCAAGGCUAAA